CUCAGCAUCACAGAAUUAUUAAUGCAUGGUCCGGUCUCCAUGGAGAUCGUAUCCCCAAAAUAAAGAACCCCUCCGUCACAGGGCACCCGAAGUCUCAAUUGGUGACAGAGAAGUCACCCCCACAGGAGUCACUCAUCUCCCAAGUGCCAUUAAGAGUAACUGCAUGUUGUCUUUCUUGGAUUAUAUCUGUGGGGUUGCAUUAGAUGCAGCUAGACUGUUUAUUGAUUAUAACAAAUCACUGCCAAUCUAAUUUUUGUAUAUUAGCGUUACAGUUGGUGCCAACACUCAGGCCUCAGUCGUGUUUAGAUUCUGGCCUUUUAUUUAUAAUGAAACAAUUUUCUCUUAGUUACAGAUCAAAGUAUCUGGCCAGAGGGGUAGUUUGGGAAUCAGCAUUGCUGGUGGGAAGGGCUCUCUGCCUUACAAAGACCAUGAUGAGGGCAUUUUUAUUUCCAGAGUAACAAAAGGUGGGGCAUCAGAAAAGGCAGGAAUCCAUGUUGGAGAUAGAUUACUGGAGGUCAACGGUCUCAACAUGCAGGGGGCGACUCACCACGAGGCUGUCAGCGCCCUAAGGAAUGCUGGGAGCUGCAUCAAGAUGAAAAUACUCAGAGAGAAGCUACUAGCACAAGAGAUGCGUGACCUGGACGAGCCCCUGGGUGCUCGGGGUGUGAUGGCACGACAGCUGCGCAGCCAGGACGGCAGAGGCCACAGACACCAACAGCCAAAAAUGGAGAGCACAGAAGACUGUUUGCCCAAGAAGAUUGAGGCAGUGUUCUGCAAUGGCAAUGGGAUUUCUGAUUUGCAGAGUGAACUGAAAAGGAACUUUUCUGAACUCAGGGCAGAGGUGUUAGCAAAAAAUGAUUCACUUCAAGUUUCCAAGCAUACAAUGACAAUCCCACGGAUCAUCCUCACUCAUCCAUCUACCUCAGAUGAAGAUGUGGAGCUCUUGACACAGAGCUCCAACAGAGAUCAGCUGCAUGACUUUGAGGGUCAUGACAGACGUGUACACGCUGACUGUUUCGACAGUGCUUUCUACCCACCCUGACCAUAGCGUAGGUGUACAUACAUGAAGGACACAGACUGUUGUUACCCAGCUUGUGUUUUGCUACUGAUGCAUUUUCAUGUGACUGUGGAUAAUUAGUACAAAACAUAAUGUUGCAAUAUGAUUUUUACUGUCGUUGCAAAGCUUUUUUGCCUCUUAGAUUCAGAUUCUGUUAAUAGUAUUUGGUAAUUUUGAUGUCAAUUGCAAGAAUGGACAAUAGUUUUAUUUUCAUUACUAAAGCACUGACUUUUAGCUGCACUACUACACCAAAGUAAGCCUGGAAAAUAUGAACAGAGUGAUCUCUGAAAUAUUAAAUGAAAAACAAGUCCCAAUGUUAAAUACAGUCAAUGAAGCCAUGAAUACAGUCGGCUACCUCCACUUCACAUCACUGAGCUGUUAGUAGUGCUGGUAAACAGGCGAGGGUCUCUGCCCAUGACGAUGUGAAGCCUUCAAAC
rnacentral:lncRNA from 1 species